AUGAUUUUUUAAGCAAACCAAGCUUUUUUAUAAAAAGUGAGGUUUUGCGAAUGUAUUUAAAACCCCCACUCUUUUAAAAAAUAUAUCUUUCAUUCAUAUAAAAUGAAUAAAAAAAAGA
rnacentral:misc_RNA from 1 species